rnacentral:sRNA from 1 species
GUCAACAACCCACCACUGACUUGAGUACAAGUACAGUGGGGGCUUGAAAUACAGCCCUAGUUGACCCGCCUAAGUCUUAACUGACUCCGUUAUUUAGGUCAAGACACCGGGCGGAUGCGUAGCUAGUCCCCUGCUCUGUC